GACGAACGCUGGCGGCGUGCUUAACACAUGCAAGUCGAACGGAAAGGCCCUGCUUUUGUGGGGUGCUCGAGUGGCGAACGGGUGAGUAACACGUGAGUAACCUGCCCUUGACUUUGGGAUAACUUCAGGAAACUGGGGCUAAUACCGGAUAGGAGCUCCUGCUGCAUGGUGGGGGUUGGAAAGUUUCGGCGGUUGGGGAUGGACUCGCGGCUUAUCAGCUUGUUGGUGGGGUAGUGGCUUACCAAGGCUUUGACGGGUAGCCGGCCUGAGAGGGUGACCGGGCACAUUGGGACUGAGAUAAGGCCCAGACUCCUACGGGAGGCAGAAGUGGGGAAUAUUGCACAAUGGGCGGAAGCCUGAUGCAGCAACGCCGCGUGCGGGAUGACGGCCUUCGGGUUGUAAACCGCUUUCGCCUGUGACGAAGCGUGAGUGACGGUAAUGGGUAAAGAAGCACCGGCUAACUACGUG
rnacentral:rRNA from 1 species